UACGGAGGAUCCAAGCGUUAUCCGGAAUCAUUGGGUUUAAAGGGUCCGUAGGCGGUUUAAUAAGUCAGUGGUGAAAGCCCAUCGCUCAACGGUGGAACGGCCAUUGAUACUGUUAGACUUGAAUUAUUAGGAAGUAACUAGAAUAUGUAGUGUAGCGGUGAAAUGCUUAGAGAUUACAUGGAAUACCAAUUGCGAAGCAGGUUACUACUAAUGGAUUGACGCUGAUGGACGAAAGCGUGGGUAGCGAACAGG
rnacentral:rRNA from 1 species